CUGUUAAACAUUAAAAAGAAGAAGAAGAAGCUCUUGCAAAACCUCGUCCCUUCACGUGCCUUCACUGUUCACUCAGAUUGACGUGUGCGGACAGUCUGGAGGAGCUGUAAACAAAUAACGGGGCACUAUUAAAGAAUAUGCUGCCAGUAAGCAAACCUCCAUCUGUUGUCAUGUCACCCAAGAAGCUGGCGAUGCUGAUUUUUUCAUUAGCAUGCCCAUCAACCUCUACCUCCAGCUCUGGUGUCACCCAAGAAGCUGACAAUGCUGGUCUUUCUCCUGUUGAAGUGGAGAGCAGUACCCCCAUGCCUUCCACCACACCUUUUAUUUAAUUUUUUGUUUUUUAGCAAAUUACUUUUUUCCAAGGAGAACAUGUAUGCAUGUGCGUGCACACAAAUACACAAGUUUGGAUUUUAAUAGUUCUAUUAAAAUGUUACCUAAUUCUUAUUAUUGGUACUAUUAAUCUUGUUUGUGGUGUUUUAGAUGUUAUUGUUAAUUUUGUUUAUUUGAAAAAUUCUAACAUUUAAAUGUUUUAUUUAUUAUUAUAUAUAAUAUUUUAUUUAAAUGUUAUUCUAUUUGCUCUAUUUCAUUUAAAUUCUAUAUAAAGGCUGUUGUUUGUGCCUCUUAAAUUCUGGUGUCAAUUAAAAAUGUUUCUUUUAUGGUCAGUGAAAAUCACUUUAUCAGUCUUUUUAUUCAGCAAGUUCAUCAGUGUGUUCGUUGCACUGCGCUGCCAUUCAGCUCAGUGGUAUCAUAAUUUUCCUGUUAGACAUUAAACAUGGAACUCAACUCAA